rnacentral:rRNA from 1 species
GGUUAAGCGACUAAGCGUACACGGUGGAUGCCCUGGCAGUCAGAGGCGAUGAAGGACGUGCUAAUCUGCGAAAAGCGCCGGCGAGGUGAUAUGAACCCUUGACCCGGCGAUGUCCGAAUGGGGAAACCCAGUGCAAUCCGUUGCACUAUCGUUAACUGAAUACAUAGGUUAACGA